GACGAACGCUGGCGGCGUGCUUAACACAUGCAAGUCGAGCGGUAAGGCCCUUUCGGGGGUACACGAGCGGCGAACGGGUGAGUAACACGUGGGUGACCUGCCCUCAGCUCUGGGAUAAGCCUGGGAAACCGGGUCUAAUACUGGAUAUGACUCCAUGACGCAUGUUGUGGGGUGGAAAGCCUUGUGCGGCUGAGGAUGGGCCCGCGGCCUAUCAGCUUGUUGGUGGGGUGANGGGCCUACCAAGGCGACGACGGGUAGCCGGCCUGAGAGGGCGACCGGCCACACUGGGACUGAGACACGGCCCAGACUCCUACGGGAGGCAGCAGUGGGGAAUCUUGCGCAAUGGGCGAAAGCCUGACGCAGCGACGCCGCGUGAGGGAUGACGG
rnacentral:rRNA from 1 species